rnacentral:rRNA from 1 species
AUUGAACGCUGGCGGCAUGCUUUACACAUGCAAGUCGAACGGCAGCACGGGUGCUUGCACCUGGUGGCGAGUGGCGGACGGGUGAGUAAUGCAUCGGAACGUGUCCUAAAGUGGGGGAUAACGCAUCGAAAGAUGUGCUAAUACCGCAUAUUCUCUGAGGAGGAAAGUAGGGGAUCGAAAGACCUUAUGCUUUUGGAGCGGCCGAUGUCUGAUUAGCUAGUUGGUAAGGUAAUGGCUUACCAAGGCGACGAUCAGUAGUUGGUCUGAGAGGACGACCAGCCACACUGGGACUGAGACACGGCCCAGACUCCUACGGGAGGCAGCAGUGGGGAAUUUUGGACAAUGGGCGCAAGCCUGAUCCAGCAAUGCCGCGUGAGUGAAGAAGGCCUCGGUU